rnacentral:lncRNA from 1 species
CCAAUUUUGCCCAGAGCCGCCGCGACACAGUUUUCCCCUUUCUCUGUCUCCGGCGAACGUAAAGCUCUGUGCUCCGUGGCCAGCCCUCUCUGGUAAGGCCCUGUCCGAUUCAAGGUUUGUUUUAGCAGCUCUGUGUAUUCAUGAAGCUCCUCGUAGUGGCUGUUUGACCAAUCCGAGCAUAGAUUAUUGGGAACAUAGGAUCGACACCACGGGUUCCGCCCUGAUCGUGGACAGAUAGUUUCCAGUGGGGUUUGUGUCGAUUAAAUGGAUGUUCCUAGGUCGCCUUAAGCCAGUGAUGCCUCCCCGUUAGUUAUCCCGAGCAGUCAUCGUCGGCCAUGGCCGGUACGGACCACGUCAGGGAUGAUUUGCGUGCGCGCCGUGGUCAGGGGUAUUCGUGGGGAAGAGAUAGAAGAUCGAGGGCAUCUCUGCAAAUUGUCAGUGACAUAGAGGAACAGUAAACAAACCUACUUCGAUUUAGCUGAUAAACCAAGGGCCUCUGUGCAAAGUUGCCAGAGCGCGCGGGCGCAUGCGGGCGCGCGACCCUGUUUCCUGUGUAGUUGGGCUGUCCUGGGCUGAAACUGGCCUAGUGCUGUUGCUGGUUUUUCCUUUUCUUUUUCUUCCAGAGCCAAAUAAAUUCUAGGAAAUUGUAGAAAAUCCUAAAAUUGUCAAACCAACUUUCCUAGGCUUCUUAUUUUCCAUAGUAUUUAAUAAAAUAAUUUCAUGAUUUUUAGAUUAAAUAGGGAAUUUUGGGUUAUUUAAAAUAGCCUAAAACAUUGAUUCCGGAUUUUUAGAAAAUAGAUAAUAAGUCCAAAAAUGCCCAAACUUUUUCUAUGAGCUCUACACAUUAUUUAGAAGCCUUGGGUAGAGUUUGGUUUGAUUUGGACCUUGUUUGAUACUUAGAACCCAAAACCCCCACCCCUGCCCUUUGAACUCCUUUACUGACUCUGGAAACCCUAAGUUCUCGGAGUUCCGUGAAGGAAAGUUGUAUUCAAGACUUUAGAUAAUAAAUCCUUAUUAUCUUUGUACUCUCAUGAGCAUUACAUGGCAUUCAUUCUUAUAUAUACCCAUAUGGUUAUAUUUAGAAAAUGAAGAAGAAGUCGAAGUGACCGAAGAGAAGACACCACCACCUUCGGAAUCUCAGGCAGGAAAUUGUUUCUACUUUGAUAUCUACGGAUCCGAGCCUGACUCACCUAUCAACGAAGGCAAGCCCCGGUGCAUUUGCCACCUUCCUUGAUGUUUUAAAAAUCUUUCUCACUUGCUUGAUGAAUUAGGUGAUAGGAGUUGAUUGAUAAAACAAUUCCUGCAUUACCUUCCUUGAAUUUGAUUACCUUCCUUGAUCAUUCGUUUUACAAAAGAUUUUGAUGCUUAGCCUUGCUUUAGAAAAACAAAAUGUUU